rnacentral:rRNA from 1 species
AACGAACGCUGGCGGCAGGCCUAACACAUGCAAGUCGAGCGCACCUUCGGGUGAGCGGCGGACGGGUUAGUAACGCGUGGGAACGUGCCCUUCUCUACGGAAUAGCCUCUGGAAACGGAGAGUAAUACCGUAUACGCCCUUUGGGGGAAAGAUUUAUCGGAGAAGGAUCGGCCCGCGUUAGAUUAGGUAGUUGGUGGGGUAACGGCCUACCAAGCCUACGAUCUAUAGCUGGUUUUAGAGGAUGAUCAGCCACACUGGGACUGAGACACGGCCCAGACUCCUACGGGAGGCAGCAGUAGGGAAUCUUGGACAAUGGGGGCAACCCUGAUCUAGCCAUGCCGCGUGAGUGAAGAAGGCCCUAGGGUCGUAAAGCUCUUUCGCCUGUGAUGAUAAUGACAGUAGCAGGUAAAGAAACCCCGGCUAACUCCGUGCCAGCAGCCGCGGUAAUACGGAGGGGGUUAGCGUUGUUCGGAAUUACUGGGCGUAAAGCGCGCGUAGGCGGAUUGGAAAGUUGGGGGUGAAAUCCCGGGGCUCAACCCCGGAACUGCCUUCAAAACUCCCAGUCUAGAGUUCGAGAGAGGUGAGUGGAAUUCCGAGUGUAGAGGUGAAAUUCGUAGAUAUUCGGAAGAACACCAGUGGCGAAGGCGGCUCACUGGCUCGAUACUGACGCUGAGGUGCGAAAGUGUGGGGAGCAAACAGGAUUAGAUACCCUGGUAGUCCACACCGUAAACGAUGAAUGCCAGUCGUCGGAUAGUAUACUAUUCGGUGACACACCUAACGGAUUAAGCAUUCCGCCUGGGGAGUACGGUCGCAAGAUUA